rnacentral:lncRNA from 1 species
UUUCAUUUUUCUUAACAGUUGAGAGGUGAAUAUCUUUCAUAAAAUGAGGUGAAGCUUCAGCCAUGGAAUAACAUCAAAAUGAACAUGUUGUACCAUGCAUUAUAGACUGUAUUCACCUAUCCUUUCUUCUUAGAUUGUGGUCAGGUUUCGUGUUUAAUUAAACAAGUAAUAUGCAGCAUCAAAUUGCUGAUAAUUACCAUGGUGUGCCCCCG